UUUGAAUGACUUUUUUUAGUAAAACAAUUUAUCCAAAAAUAAAUGGAUAUAAUAUUAUUAACAAAAAAAAUAAGAAUCACUAAUUACAUCCGUCAAAAAAAUUACUUUAUAAGAACGAUAAUACACAAAAGAAUUUAUUCAUUCACUCUUAUUAAUUUAUCCAUUAAACCCAAAUUUAAAAUUUAAAAAGACAUCAAAAAAACGAUAAUUUUAUUACAAUCAAUUUAAACAAAUUUAUGAAAAAACAAUGGUAAUAUUUAAUAUUUAAUCGUUGGACAAAUCGAUAAAUAUAAUCAAGAGGCCUCAGGUCAUUUAGUUGUAAAUACAUCAAAAUAGAUAAUCAGCCAAUGUAGGCAAAUGAAAGACAUCACUGACCUCACAUUAAUCAAAGUUGAAUUAACUAAAUAAUUCCUAGAAAAAAAUAAUUGAAUUUUGAUGAACAUAAAAUACGAGAUUUAUUUUAGGGAAAAAAAUUCACUCAGUGGUGGCUAGAUAAAUUAAGGUUCGAUUCUGCCUGCAAAUUUCCUCAACUUUAAAUCAGAAGAGGGAGCUUUGUAUCCUCAUCGUGAAAACUUUUUCCCGAAAAAAUCAAAACUAAUACAAAUCAAAAACAGAGAAAAUAAAAAAUAAAAGAGAUCACUCAGUUCAGCGGGGUUUUCGACACGCAAAGCAAUCUCAUAGAGAAAGCACUGCAUUCCGGUCUGUUGAGCUUGAAUUUCAUGGAGUCAUCACUGUGAUCUCUAUUAUUUCAAAAUAACAUUCAAAAUUCAACAAGAAAAUCGAAUCUAAUGCAAGAAAAACAUACAAAAAUCAGAUGCAUAAACUAUAGAAAUGAGGCAAAGCAAAAUAGUUUGGAAGAGCGAUUGGAGACUGAUGAGUGGAUGAGUUUUGAGAUCUGAGUAGAAUACAGAGAUUGGAGUUAGAUUUUAUAGGAAGAGUAUUAGGGUUUCUGAGAAGUGAUACUAGCAACUGAGUAAACGCGGUCGUUUUAAAAGGCAGUAGUUUCUUGUUGGUUCGUUGAAUCAGCUUAAUGAAAACAGAAAUGAUAUCUUUACACCAAUAUUGUACACCUACACCGUAUACAGUACAAUUUCAAUUUUUUAUUGUUUAUUUCUCUCUCCUAUUAUAAAUAAAUAUAUAUAUAUAUAUAUAUAUAUAUAUAUAUAAUAUUUAUUUAAAAUAUUAUAAAAAAAAUUAUUUUUAUUUUUUAAAUUAAAAAAAUAUCAAUAGAAAAACAUUUGAUUAACCAACUUUAUAGCUUUAUUAAUCCAUAUUUUAUAUUUUGUUAACCAACUUUAUUUUACUAAUAAAAGAUAUUUUUAAUAUCUUAAAGUUUAUUAACCAACUUCAUCACUUCAUUAACCAAUAUUUUACAUUUUAUUAACCAACUUUAUUUUACUAUUAAAAAUUUACUGUUCACGAAUAUUGUUUGUGGUCAUUGUUCACGAAUAAAGUAUUGAAGUUGGUUAAUAACUUACCUAUCUUUGGUUAAUAUUAUAAUGAAGUUGGUUAAUGACUCAAUUUUAUAUUUGUACUACAAAAUAAAUUUAUCUAUUUUUUUUUUAAAAAAAUAAUAUAUUUUUUUUAUUUUUAAAAAAUAAUAUUUUAUAAAUAAUAUAUUUUUAUUUUUAAAAAAAAAUACUGUUCACCGUAUAAAUACGGUGAACAGUAUAUGGUGUAAGUAUUGGUGUCAAAUUUUGGUGUAUAAAUAACAUUGCUGUAAUGAAAAAGCCCAUAGCAUAAAGAUUUGGUCAAAGCCCAAAUCAGCUUAAUACACACACCACACAUUUAAAGUUUAAACAAACAUUUCAUUUUGCUUUAAGAGAUUUAAAAGUAAACACCAUUAAUUAUUAAAUUCAAACGUAAUUAAUAAGUUUGUUUAAAAAAUGAAAAUCUAAUUAAAUCUAUAAUUAUUAUUAUUUACUCUUAAAAAUAAAUAAAAUAUGAGUUGAGAUAGGUAUAUAGAGGGAGACUGAAUUUUAAUUUUUUUAUGUAUAUAGACUAGUAGUUAAAUUUUAAAUAGAGUUUACAUUUAUCUUUUAUUUGUAUGAUUACAUACAUAUGGAUUGAAAUUUGUGGAACCAAAAUUGACCAUUGAAAAUCGUGUUUGCUAUCUUUUCUUCUGUUUUUAAUCCGACAAUCAACUAGCCCCGUCUAUUUUAGUAAAGAAUAUAUCAGUUUAAACGAGUUUUGGGCGAGUCAAUAGAGUUUACUCUCCCUUGAUUUUUUAGAAGAUAGUUCUUCAGAAGAGACAUAGUCAGACGAAUAUAAACACAGUCGAAUGAGAGUCAAUCAAAUAUUUCUCAAAAGUAUACUCAACUUGAAUUAUUGAUAGGCCGCAAGUAUACAACUAUACUGAUUUAGUAUAAAAGGUUUGUCGAAUCCAUAGAGACCAAUUACAAUUAUCGUCAUCUAUUGUUCCUACGUUUAUUUAAGACUACUCAAAUGAUUGGGUUUAUGUGAAAAUUAAAAGUAAUGGAUUUAAAUUAAUAUUAAUAACGAGAGACUUAAACAUUGAUUUCCGUCUUCCUAUGUUACCCAUACAAAUUACAAUAUUUAUUCAUAAUGGGAAAAUUAUUUUUGCACAAAAAAACUAAAUUAGAGAUACCUAUCAUACCCUAAAAUUUACCUUGAGUUUUUCAUCUGCAUCAACAUACCAUGAUCAUUUCAUUUGACCAUGCAUCACAUCAAUCAUAAAACAUCCAUUAAGGUUUAGGUGAAAAGUCAGGGUUUCUCGUGUUCCAUCUGAUCUUAUAGGCAUGCAAUCAUCUGUGGAUUGAGGAAUGAAGAGUAUUCUGUAGUCCAUAGCAUCUUCUAUUUCAUCACAUUUCUCAGGGUUCCAGAUGGCUGAUAAAUCUAGAAUAUUUGAUUCAUUUGUGUCUCUGAAAAGCACCAUUGUCUUUAUGAUUGAAGAUCAUUGGUAAAUAGUCAAAGAGUACUUUUGCAAUUGGUUCUUUGAUCAUAAAUCCCAAUGUCAUUUCAUAUUAAUCUUUAUGUUUCAUUGUAUUUAUGAUUAGGUAUUAUUAUGUAUUAGGUCCAAGAGUUGAUUCUUUUACAUUUAAUUCUCUAAUCAUUAAUCAUCUAGAUCAUUAUCAUCUUUCUUUAUGGAAUUAGAUAAAUAGUCCAAGAUUGACAAUUUGCAUUUCAUUAUUUACUCAUAAUUCAUCUGCACCAUUGUUAUUCAUAAGCAAAUUGUAGAAUAAAAAUUCAAGUUUGACUUUGUUGACCUAUGUUGUUAGUUCAUUUGUUUUACUUUCAUUUUGCAUUGUUAUAUUAACUUUUCAUUAGCAUUUUUUAACACAUAUCAAAGGUAAAAAAUAAAAAAUAAAAAAGUCAAAAGGUUGACCUUUGACUUUAACUUUUAUUGGUGAAAUAACUAUGUUUGUUUUGAUUCAAAUUAUUUUUAUUCGUUUUAUUCAAAUAUUCUGAUUAGUAUUUUGAAUGAGACAUAGAUAUAAAUAAUUUUGAAAUAAAGAAAAGAGACUUUUUUAUUGAUCAAUAUUCUUUUACAUCACAAAUACACACUAACACUUUAUCACUCUAUUCACUACACAUUCUUUUCUUUUUGCAUACAUAUUAUCUACAUACAUAUAAUAUGAUAUUUCAGAAAAUGACAACAAAAAUCGGUGUAGCUUUAAGCCAAAUUUCCUUUAAGCCUAAGCUUCACACUUAAAAGUUUCAGCUGCAAAUUAAGCUCCCAAUUAGUCUUCAUGAACAAGCCUAACCAACUUAAACCAAGUCAGCUCCAUCAUCAUUGGCGCUUCAUGAUUCGUACCUUUUCAUCCUCUCCAAGCAAGUUGCUCAAGGCAAACCCCAAGCUAUCACCAAGCCAGGCCAAACUGAUCCCAUGUGCACAUAUAAGAUACAAAGAGAAUAUUUUUGUUACUGAGUGAAUUAGGGGGACCACAAUAAAAAAUUCACACUUACAACACAAUUGAAUAAACAAAUUUACACCAACAAACUCAUCUCCCACAAAACCAAAUAUCACAAAUUCAUUUCAAUAAACUCACACACUUGGUGAAUUUCCCACACGUACAAACUACCAUAUAUAAUAAUGCUACUAUUUCACUCAUUCAAAAAAUGAUCACCAUAGUUAUAAUCUGCAUAAAUUCCCCUGAACUGCUUGGUUGCUUAUAGAGUGAUUCUAAUAAUGAAUCACUUUAUGCUAACUUAGAGCAACAUAUUUUAAUGCGGGGUAUUAAUUCUUCUACCUAGAUUUCCUCACCAUUAAACCCUUACUCAAAGCUCUCUAAACCACCUCAUCAUAGCUUCAUACUAAAACUCUGAAGGAGGCAAGCUAAGCCACUCAAUAUGACCACAAUUCAUCACCUUCAAUCUCAUUUUGAUUAAUCCUCACUUUUCAAGCAAUCUAUCUCUCAGCACUCAUCUCAUUUGACUUUAAAUUCUCUACACACACCAAUUAUUCAGCUUAUAUUUUCUAUCACAAUAAUAACAUGACAUACAACAGACAUGCAUUUAUAGAUCACAAAAAAGGAAAAGAGUAAAAGAUGAAGAAUGUAUUCUAAAGCAACGAAGGAAGAAGAUUCUUACCUGAAUCUCCAAGCUUCCUCUGGGUUUCUUUUUCGCUCUCUUCAUCAGUGAUAAUCAUUACCAUGAAUCUUUACAUUCCCGUUGGUAAGUGUUAUUUCUCUUCAUUCUUGAUACCAUGAUGAACGCUUUGACUUGUUAAUCCAUAGUCCUUCCCUAAUUAAUUGAAAUGGUGAACAUCUAAGAUUUAAUUUCAUUUCAGACAUUUUAGGGUUUCAUAUGUUUGUUUUGAUUUGAGGGUUUUGGGUUGGGUUUUGACAAUUUGAAGGUUAUGGUUAGAAAUUGGGUGAAAAGAGGAAGAAAAUAAGGGUAGAAUGAGGAGGUCUGGUGGUGCCCCACCGCAUGAAGCAAUUUCUGGUACAGCGGGGCGAUUUUUGGAUGCCGCGAAAGUUAGAGAACGAAGAGAAAGAGGGUUUAAGAGAGUAUUUGUGAGGAGAGAGCAAAAGGGAAGCGAAAUGAGGUCUUUAUGCUUUUUUAGACUUCUCUCUCUCACUCUCACUCUCUCACUCUCACUCUCUCCCCCUCUCUCUCUCUCUCUCUUUCUCUCUCUCUGAUGGGUUGCUCACAUUUGCCCUUCAUACCUCUUGUUAGAUGGAAACGUGUGUAGUGUUUGGACCAUGGUAUUGGUUGACUAGCUACAAUCAACCUUGAAUCUGAUAUGCAUAUCAUCAGUGUGUUAUAGUGUACAUACACAUCACGCCUUUAGACCAGUUUGACCAUGUUUUGAUCUCCACAUCCAAUGGCCCUCUUAGUAAAGUCUUUGACUCUAAUAUUGGGCCUCUUCAACUUUGAGUCAACUCCUUUUUUUAUUUUAUCACCCCCUUAUUAAUGUUGCAAGCGCCCUUUUGGGUAUUUUCUUUGAUUUAUUUUUUCUGACCCAUUUUUUUUUGUUGCUUAAUUUAACUAAUCGUGGAUUAGAUUAGUUAAUUUUUUUAAUAGAUCUGAUAGUUUGGUUAAUGGACCUAAUUAGCUAUAGUUUGUUUAAUCAAAUUUAAGUGUGUUUAUUUAUCUUAUGGACUUAGAUCUUUUUUAGUAUUUGUGUCGUUAUAUCUAAUUUUAUAUUUUUAUUCACAUUUGAUAAAGAUGUAAUAUUUUCUAGACUUAUAAUUUGUUUUAAUUAACUAAUCAUGAUAGUUAAAAUUUAAUUAAUUUAAUUAAAUAAUGAGAUUAAUUUUUUAUUAAUUAAUUAAAAAAAUUAAAUUUAAUAAACCUAAAUAUUUAAUUAAGAUAUAGUUUAAUUAAUUAAUUGCAUCCUCUUGUUUAAUUAUCAUAUUGAUCAUAACCAUGUAUCCCAUUUUGGCUUAAAAUCAUAUUUGUUUUAUUAUCCUAUUUUGAUUUGCUAUUACUUGUUUAAUUUGAAAUUAGAAUGAAUGAUAAUUUUAAUAUAUAAAUGAUUUUCUAAAAAUGUAAAAAACCUUGGUCCAACGCCAAGUAGAUUUUCAAAAUCCAAUUCCAAAUCAAACCAUUUUCAUAACUCAAUUCAUGUCCGCGAACGCAAAUAAAAACCUCAAUCAACAUCAAACGUUUUUGUCCAAUUCAAAUCAAAACACUUAAUCAUAGUUAAACACCAUUUAAAAUGAUGAAAAGGGAUAUGGUAUAGAGUCUUUUAUUCCUCUCCUCGAUUACUUGGAUACGAGUUGCCUUACUCGACAAUUCGAGCAAUCGUCAUCCAUUAAAAAACUUGUAAUAUGAUUCAUCUCAUACCAUUUUUCAUAAUCAUCUUAAACAAACCCAUUUUUCGUAAUAACUUUGACGAAAAAAGGAGGUGGUUUAGAGUCUUCUACUCAUUUCCUCAAAUACUUGGAUACGAGUUGCCUUACUCGACCAUUCGAGUAUUCAUCGUUCAUUCAAAAUACAUCAACCUUAUAUAAAUCCUUUUACAAUUAAGGAUGAAAAGUAAGAUGGUCUAGAGCUUUUUAUUCCUCUUCUCGGUUAUUCGAAUACGAGUUUCCUUAUUCGACCAUUUGAGUAAUCGUCAUCCAACAAAAUAUUCAACCGAUCGAUCCUAUUUUCUCGCCCAGUGCGAUCCAACUUUCUUUCUAAAACGAGGUUGCUUUAUCCAUUUUGUCGCAUUACGCGAAAAACCGGCGAGAAAACGAAACGACAGAGCCGCCACCGUGCGUUAUUUAUCCCAAAGGAGGGAAAGGAAACGCUCGAAGUAAACCUGGAAAAGACAUGGUCUCGCUACCAGAGAAAGAUGGGAUUGGGAGUCGGUUAUGCGAAGGGAAGGUAUUAGCACCCCUACGUAUCCGUCGUACUCGACGGGAUCCACGCUCAGAAAGAAAAGAAGAAAGGUUGCUAAAACUGCUCACAAACUGCACAAGGUUGGAAGGAAACACCGAAAGACAAAAGAAACGGGACUCGGUAGGAUAUCGCAUCCUGGGCCUACGUAGUCUGUCAGACACAGACAUCAGAGUCGAUGUAGUUCGGGAACAGGGGAAACGUGCUCGCUAGGAUGUCGUAUCCUAUGCAUACGUAUCUUCUCUAACCAGAGAAAGAAUCAGAGCACCCAUAGCUCGGCUAACGCACGCCGAAACAAAACCCACACAGGAAACCGACUGCCAAUCGCUGGACUUACGUCAGACUCCACACAAACGGGCAAACAUGGAAACCGAAGGCCAAUCGCUGGACUUACAUCAGACUCCGAACCAACAAACACACACAGGAAACCAACUGCCAAUCGCUGGACUUACGUCAGACUCCAAACACAACACAAAGGGGUUGAAAAAGAAAAAGGGCGCCCGGAGAGAUCAGCUCAUCUCCUGCCUACGUACCUCAUCUGGUAUGAGGAUCAGGGCGACGUAGUUCCCCUAAACAGGGAAAGAACUUCUAACCUAACCAGAUACAAAGGGAGACACAAACUACUAGGGAGACUACGACUCGAGCCUAGAAGUUGUCAUGCAUACGAUCCCUAUGUUAAGGUUUCUAUCUAACUUGCACAGGAAGCAAGCUAUCCUAACACAGCACAAUCAAUCAAAAGCACAAAAAGCAAGCACAUACACUAUAUGCAAACAGAUGGGCUCAUACAAGGUUAGGCUUUAGUCAAGGGGUCAUGUCAACCUCAACAAACAAGCCACUGGAAUGGGGUAUGAUUAGCUCUUAACCCUAACAUUGAGAGUUAGGGUGAAGCAGAUGAAAGGGAGAUGAGGGUAAGACCUCACAGCUCUUAUCCCUGGCCUGGGAGAGCUUGACUCAAAGUAGAAAGUGUGGGAGUUCAGAAUGUAGGAACUCUUCUCCACAAAUGACUGACACAACAUGAUCUUGGGUUAUUAUCCAUAAUGCAUCAACCCAAGGUAUGUGAGUAAAGUGAAUGACACAACUGAAUAGCAGGGGAUGGAUUGCACAUCCCUUUUAUCUUCCAAUUGCCUCUUAAGAGGUCUUUACCUGCUUGGCACAAAAUCAAACAAACACAAGCAUUGCCUCUUAAGGAGGGCUUCAGACAGGUGCCUGCCCACAUAACAGGACAGGUCUUCCAGACAACAUAAAGUCAGAGAGUUAUACCUAAGUGGUAAGCAAACCACAAGCCAAGCUAGGCAACUCAAGCAAUGAGUUAAAGCUACUAAAGUACCUGUGCAAACAACCAGACAAUCAGUACACAGUUCAAACAAACAGACAACAGUCAUCAGGCAAUAAUAAACAGACAAAGCAAUCAGGCAACAAUGAGCAAGGCACAAGCACAAGGGGAUUUGUUCUAAAAACCUACAAAACAACACAAUGUUAGCCAACAUCAACCAAUUAAUCAAACUCAAAUGAAUGAGCCACUCCAAUCAUGACAAUGUGCAUCUGAACCUGAAAUCCACAAUCCAAACAGUGAGUCCAAACCACUAGGUCAAAGCCUAGGGUCAAAAGAGGGUCAAACAUUCAAAACAGAACAUGAAAUUUAACAUGAAUCAUCCUCAUUCAAUCAAGAACAAAUCUCAAAAAGUCCCACAUCAAAAUCAUUAAGCAUAUUCAUUUCAUGAGCAAAACAUGGCAAGGCAUGCAAAUGGUGAUCACAUUGAGACAUCAGAAGAAACAAAUGCACAUUAAAUCAAAAAUGACUCAAAUAAUCUUGGCAAAAUUCAUGAGUGAACAGGACAUAUAACAUGAUCAUCCCACAAAAAAAUAGAGGCAUUGGACAUCAUUAGGCAUGGCAAUCACAUAGCAUAAUCAAGACAAUCACAUGUGUGACACAAAUUGUCACACCAAGUUAGCAUAAUCAUAAAACAGAGAUGGAUCAUGGGAAAAAUCUCAAACCAAAGCCAAAACAUCACUCAACAUGUCUAGAANNNNNNNNNNNNNNNNNNNNNNNNNNNNNNNNNNNNNNNNNNNNNNNNNNNNNNNNNNNNNNNNNNNNNNNNNNNNNNNNNNNNNNNNNNNNNNNNNNNNNNNNNNNNNNNNNNNNNNNNNNNNNNNNNNNNNNNNNNNNNNNNNNNNNNNNNNNNNNNNNNNNNNNNNNNNNNNNNNNNNNNNNNNNNNNNNNNNNNNNNNNNNNNNNNNNNNNNNNNNNNNNNNNNNNNNNNNNNNNNNNNNNNNNNNNNNNNNNNNNNNNNNNNNNNNNNNNNNNNNNNNNNNNNNNNNNNNNNNNNNNNNNNNNNNNNNNNNNNNNNNNNNNNNNNNNNNNNNNNNNNNNNNNNNNNNNNNNNNNNNNNNNNNNNNNNNNNNNNNNNNNNNNNNNNNNNNNNNNNNNNNNNNNNNNNNNNNNNNNNNNNNNNNNNNNNNNNNNNNNNNNNNNNNNNNNNNNNNNNNNNNNNNNNNNNNNNNNNNNNNNNNNNNNNNNNNNNNNNNNNNNNNNNNNNNNNNNNNNNNNNNNNNNNNNNNNNNNNNNNNNNNNNNNNNNNNNNNNNNNNNNNNNNNNNNNNNNNNNNNNNNNNNNNNNNNNNNNNNNNNNNNNNNNNNNNNNNNNNNNNNNNNNNNNNNNNNNNNNNNNNNNNNNNNNNNNNNNNNNNNNNNNNNNNNNNNNNNNNNNNNNNNNNNNNNNNNNNNNNNNNNNNNNNNNNNNNNNNNNNNNNNNNNNNNNNNNNNNNNNNNNNNNNNNNNNNNNNNNNNNNNNNNNNNNNNNNNNNNNNNNNNNNNNNNNNNNNNNNNNNNNNNNNNNNNNNNNNNNNNNNNNNNNNNNNNNNNNNNNNNNNNNNNNNNNNNNNNNNNNNNNNNNNNNNNNNNNNNNNNNNNNNNNNNNNNNNNNNNNNNNNNNNNNNNNNNNNNNNNNNNNNNNNNNNNNNNNNNNNNNNNNNNNNNNNNNNNNNNNNNNNNNNNNNNNNNNNNNNNNNNNNNNNNNNNNNNNNNNNNNNNNNNNNNNNNNNNNNNNNNNNNNNNNNNNNNUAUGAUGCUUGUGGAUGUGAUUGGUGAUGAAUUAGAAGCUCAAAUGCACACGAAUUCAGUUCAAUUUUCCAAUGCCAUGGAUGCUUCAAGCUUUGAAUCUAUCUCAAUAUGCCACGAGUUUCUCUGAAUCCACGUCCAAUUCUACUCAACAACACCUCAGGAACAUGAAUCAACCAAUAGAAAGUGCUUUUGUUUGAAGAAAUUUGGAAAAAGUUUGAGAGAAAUUUUUGAUGAUUUUCUUGAAUCCAGAUCUGAAAUGUUGCUAAUGAUAAAAAACAGUUAUGAUUAAGUAUAUAUACUUCCUACUAAUCAUGUUUAAAACCAACUUAAGCCUAAUGCCAAUGUGAUUAGUAAGUUGGAAGGUGUUUGUACAAAAAUGAGUUUUUCACUUCAUGCACCCCAUGCACGUGAACAAUGUCAAUUCAAGGCCCAAAUCCACUAAAAAUGAGUUCAUGCAAGGUUGUGAAUUGGUUUGGUAUGCAUAUGUUCCACAAAAUGAAUUUUAUGCAAUUUCCUUCAAAAAUCUUCAUGAGUGAACCAAAGACCAUGCAAAUGAAAUUCAUGUCAAGUAAUGGUAUGCUUGGAAAGUACAUGUUAUAAGGAUCAAAAUGCAAAAAGAACCACUCAUUUUGAAGUUUUGGUUUGAAAGUUAUGCUCAUUUGAACUUUGAAACACACUUUGCCAUGAUUGGACCAUAACUCCUCAACCACACAUGAGAAAUUCAUGACCUUAGACUUUUUGGAAACGGGAGAGAAAGAUCUUCAACUUUCAUGUUGGACAAAAUUUCAUUUGAAGCUUUCUUGAUGAUGUAAUCUUGAGUUGAAGUUGGUCUAAAACCUUUCCAUUUUUGGAAAGUUCAAAUUAUAGGUCACCUGCUAUUUUUGGAAAGUCUUGACCUGACUUCAAAUUCUUCAGUGUUGAUGUUUGAAAUGUCAAAUGAGACUUGUUUGAACAUGAAUGAGUCAUCUCUAACCACUUCCCACCUUCAAAUCCACAGUUGAUUUUGCAGUUGACUUCUGUUGACUUUUGUGGGCCUCAGAUGAUUUGCACAUGGACUGAUGAGCUCUGAGCUUUCAACACUUGGCCAAUAUUGCUUCAAAGUGAUCCUUGGGUCACAUGAACUCAUUGUACCAACCCUAGGGCUUUGAUCUCAUUGAAAUUGCCUUGUUGCCUAUAUGCCACAGUCGGAAUCUCUGACGUCCUGCCAUGCUGACAAUGUAGAUGGACUGUAUGACGUGCAAUGCUAAUGCAAAUAGUAAGAGUGAUGUAAUUGGACUCCAAUUGAGAAAUGACAAUGUAUAUACAAUGGGAAGGUCAAAUUUGCGUGCACAGCUUGCCCCUAUUCAAUCAACUGGGAACCUGAACGGAUGAGAGCAACGGUUGUCAGACCUUCAAGGUAAACAGGGAUUGAAUACCAAAGAACCGUAGAAAUUUGCACUCUGCGGGGAAUGAACAGGGUAUUGGCCACAGUAACCAUACAAGACGUUUACCGACGACUCUACUGGGGAGUUUGAUUUUUUUACCAAUGGAAAGAUACAGCCAGACGUCAACGGACAACUAGGAAAAACUCGACAUUUAUCGACACCAACAGAGAGGUGACCAGUCAUCAAUGGAUGAAUGGGAGGAAGAAAUAUAACCAUACGUCAACGGACGAACGGGAAAAACUCAACGUUUAUCGACACCAACGGAGAGGUGACCAGUCAUCAAUGGAUGAAUGGGAAAGGCUCGCCCAGACGUCAACGGACGAACGGGAGAAGCUCGACGUUUAUCGACACCAACGAAGAGGUGACUAGACAUCAACGGAUGACCUGGGGAAAGAGAUACAACCAUACGUCAACGGAUGAAUGGGAAAAACUCAACGUUUAUCGAAACCAACGGGGAGGUUACCAGACAUUAACGAAUGACUGGGAAGACUCGACCAGACGUCAACGGACGAAUGGGAGAAGCUCGACGUUUAUCGACACCAACGGAGAGGGUGACCAGACAUCAACGGAUGACUGGGACAAAUACAAUGUUUGCCGACAUCGAAAUAUGAUGCGUACAAAAGUGAAGCAAGACCAGACAUUUUGAGUAAGACUCGAUGUUUACCGACACCGAAACAAUGGUGUUUACCGACACUAAAGAAAGGACGACCAGACAUUUACCGAUGAUUGGGGUGAGACUCGAUGUUUACCAACACCGAAACAAUGGUGUUUACCGACACCAAGGAAAGGACGACCAGACAUUUACCGAUGACUGGGGAAAGAAAUGCAACCAGAUGUCAACGGACAACUAGGAAAAACUCAACGUUUAUCGAUACCAACGGAGAGGUGACCAGACAUCAACGGAUGACCUGGGAAGGAGAGAGAUGUUACGAACAUCGGAAGAUGAUGUUUACCGACAUCAAAAAGGGAAGACCAGACAUUUACCGAUGACUGGGGUGAGACUCGAUGUUUACCGACAUCGAAAGAUGAUGUUUACCGACAUCAAAAAAGGACGACCAGACAUUUAUCGAUGACUGGGGUGAGACUCGAUGUUUACCGACACCGAAACAAUGGUGUUUACCGACACCAAAAAGAGCACACAAGGGUGCAAACAUGACACUUACCGGUAUCACAGGGACGACAUCCUCAUAUGUCAAAGCAAAGCUAAACACUUGCUGGGGAACUCACUGGGGAGAAUCAAGCUUCCUUUCACGGACGGGUGAGAACUAAACGUCUCUGGGAAGUUAUCAAUCCUGAAUGCUGUCAGGAGCAACUGUAGCAAAUGUGCCGUACAGAUGUUGAACAAUGAUCCGCCUCUGCCGGGGAUAUGAUCUGAUUAAGUUUGACACAUGAAUGCAUAUGUUUGAAUUUUUCUAUGGCGUAAUGCUCCAUAUUGAAUGGAAAUGCUACGCGAUUUGAGGAUGCAAUGAUCACUACAUGCAAGAUGCAGAAAGAUGAAAACUUCCUGCUGAGGAGCAAACGAACUGCUCUGCUGAGCACACAAACAUGAAUAGAUUCUCCAAUUAUGUGGGGAGACUCUGUCUGAGGAAUGCUCUGUGGGGAAAAAGCACCAACUUAUCAAACGUGCUGGGGAAUAGCAUCGCUGCUGAAGAAAGAAUAGAUCCCACCGGGGAUAACCUUCACCAAAUCCAAUCCACUCGGGGACUCUGCUAGGGGAACAACUAAUGCUCGCCUCUGCUGAGGAUGUCUGCCAAUCCAUAGGCAGGAUAAAAUCUACUGGGGGUAACUUCCACCGAACCUGAUCCACUCGGGGAAUUUGCUGGGGAAAACCAUCAACACAACCCUCUGCUAGGGAGAUCUGCUAGGGAAAACAUUCACAACCCUAGUGGGGAAAGGUAUAACUCUGUUGGGGAAAUAAUAAACCAGACCAUGCUGGGGAUAGACAUCCACAACUCUGCCGGGGAAAAGCGUUCACGACCAUGCUAGGGAUAGCAGUACUUCAAAUCCGGCUGCUGAGGAAUACACUACUCACUGAUACCUCCGCUGGGGAUACAACAACCUUCCAACUCGGUGGGGAUUAACAAUCUUCCAACUAGCCGGGGAUAAACCCACUUCCAGGCCUGUUGGGGAAAGAAUAGCCUUUGAUCCUGCUACUGAGGGACACAUUAUCCACAGACGCCUCUGCAGGGGAAAAUAGUUCUGAUAGCUUUCAGACUUGCUUGGGGAAACAACCACUUUCAAGUCUGCUGGGGAAACAUCCUCAAUCCUGCUGAGGAAUUCCUGAUCUCACACUAUUGGACAGUGCUGACAACAUCCCUGAACGAACCGUGGCUUAUCUGCUUCAGCCAGGAACCAAAAGUAAUAGCCUGCAAAACAACAAGGCAAACAUGCCCCAAGGGGAUUGCAUAGACAAAAUACACCCAAGUGUCCUCAACAUUCAAAAUGAUUUUCAAAUGUUUUAUCUUUCUGCACGUUAUUGUCUAGCCUUCAUGUUUUUAUAUGCAAUGUUUAUCAAAAAUUCGGACGUUUUUGCAAACAAACAGUAAAAAAUAAAACAAGAUAGCAGAUUAUCUGAAUAACGCUUUUAUUGAUUGAAAAUGGGCCUGAAAAGGCGAAUACAUCGGAACAAUUCCUUAGAGAAGAGGUGAUUUGCGCAAUAAAAGGUACCAAAAUCUAUCCUAAGGCAGAGUGAAUACGGCAUCCUAGUCCCAAUGUCUGUAUGACUCACAGAUCACAAUUGUCUCCCCGAAUUCCUUGCUUUUGUGAGCAGAAUGACUGGACCGAUCACAUCUCGAGAUGGUAAGCAUGAAGCGCGAUAAGACAGAUAUCAACUGUAUGCGCCCUGUUGGGCCUGAUCGCCCCUUUUCUGGGCAAUCCACCAGCCGGGAUACCCUUUUUUUGCCUAAGCCGCCCUUGGGCGCGGUUUUCGACUUUACCGGUGUAGCAAAUUGCUUUCAUUUGUAUCCCUAACUUUGCGUCCGAACCUUUUUCUCUCUUUUUUUUGUCGCUGCGGGAUGCCCUUUUUGGCUGGACUCUUUUACGUGUGCUUUUGUCCAGCGGUCAAGUUAUGCGGAAGUAUUUUGUGACUACAUUCUUGAGUUAACAGGGGAAGCGGACAGUCGGUCACCACCUCAUAGUGUUAAGCCAUUCAGGCUCCACAGAGAAAACCUUCUUAACAACAUAUGGACCUUCGUAUUAGGCGUCCACUUGCCCCUGUUUACUGUACCGGGAGGAAGGAUCCUCUUCAAAACUAGAUCACCAGUCUGAUAGCUUCGAGGACGCACUUUCUGAUCAAAGGCUCUCUUCAUUCUUCUCUGAUACAACUGCCCAUGGCACACAGCUGCUAAACGCCUCUCUUCGAUAAGGCUCAACUCGUUAAACCUUGUUCGAAUCCACUCAGCUUCAUCAAGCUUAACAUCCAGCAAGACUCUCAGAGAAGGGAUCUCCACUUCAACUGGUAGGACUGCUUCCAUACCAUACACAAGGGAGUAAGGGGUUGCCCCGGUCGACGUACGUACUGAGGUACAGUACCCAUGCAAAGCGAAAGGCAGCAUCUCAUGCCAAUCCUUGUACGUCACAAACAUCUUCUGCACAAUCUUCUUAAUAUUCUUGUUUGCCGCCUCUACAGCCUCAUUCAUCUUCGGUCUGUAAGGAGAAGAAUUGUGAUGUUCAAUCUUGAAAUCUUUACAAAGCUCUUUCAUCAUCUUGUUAUUGAGAUUCGAACCAUUGUCAGUGAUGAUUCUCUCAGGAACCCCAUACAUCUUCGGUCUGUAAGGAGAAGAAUUGUGAUGUUCAAUCUUGAAAUCUUUACAAAGCUCUUUCAUCAUCUUGUUAUUGAGAUUCGAACCAUUGUCAGUGAUGAUUCUCUCAGGAACCCCAUAACGAAAGAUGACCUCCUUCUUAAUGAACCGGGCAACCACUUGUUUGGUAACGUUAACAUAGGAAGCUGCUUCCACCCCCUUGGUGAAGUAAUCAAUCGCAACCAGGAUGAAGCGAUGUCCAUUGGAAGCAGUAGGCUCAAUCUUUCCAAUCAUAUUAAUUCCCCACAUGGCGAACGGCCAAGGCGAAUUUAUGACAUUCAGAGGGCUUGGUGGUACAUGCACCUUAUCAGCAUAAAUCUGGCAUUUAUGGCACUUCCGAGCAUAUUUGAAACAAUCGGAUUCCAUAGUCAUCCAGUAAUAACCGGCUCUCGACAACUUCUUAGACAUUGCAUGACCACCAGCAUGGGUACCAAAAGAUCCUUCGUGCACUUCCUGCAUCAACAUGUCUGCUUCGUGUCUAUCCACGCAUCUGAGCAGAAGCAUGUCAAAGUUUCUCUUGUACAGCACAUCGUCCUGAUUCAAAUAAAAGCUUCCAGCUAGCCUUCUCAGGGUUUUCUUGUCGUUCUUUGACGCACCUUCAGGAUACUCCUGGCUUUUGAGGAAAUUCUUGAUAUCAUAGUACCACGACUUCUCAUCCACAACAGACUCGGCCGCAAACACAUACGCAGGCCUCUCGAGUCGAUUCACCGCAACAUGUGGCACAUGAUUCCACCAAUGAACUUUGAUCAUGGACGACAAAGUAGCCAAGGCAUCAGCCAUCUGAUUCUCAUCCCGAGGGACAUGAUACAACUUCACCUUCUUGAAGAACGUCAGUAUUCUUCUGGUCUAAUCUCUGUAAGGAAUCAAAUGUGGUUGAUUAGUAUUCCAAUCUCCAUUGACCUAGUUAAUCACUAGAGCGGAAUCUCCAUAAAUGUCAAGAGUUUUGAUCCUCAGAUCGAUGGCUUCUUCUAUCCCCAUGAUGCAGGCUUCAUACUCAGCCUCGUUGUUGGUCACGUCAAAAGUCAGUCUGGCAGAAAAAGGUAUAUGAACACCUUUAGGAUUGAUAAGCACUGCCCCAACACCGUUACCGUUCACAUUCACAACCCCAUCAAACAUCAGUGUCCACUUGUCAUCAGGAUCCGGUCCUUCCUCGACAAGAGGCUCUUCACAAUCUUUGAUCUUAAGAUGCAUGAUGUCUUCAUCAGGGAAUUCAAACAUCAUCGGCUGAUAAUCAUCAAUCGGUUGCUCGGCAAGGUAGUCUGACAGAAUACUACCUUUGAUGACCUUCUGCAACGUGUACUGGAUAUCAUACUCAGUUAGGAUCAUCUGCCAACGGGCAACACGUCCGGUGAGAGCCGACUUCUCAAAGAUGUAUUUCACUGGAUCCAUCUUAGAAAUCAACAAAGUGGUAUGAUUCAACAUAUACUGCCUCAGUCGGCGAGCAACCUAGGCCAAAGCACAAUAAGUUUUCUCAAGCUGUGAAUAUUUGAUUUCACAGUCGGUAAACUUUUUGCUAAGGUAGUAUAUGGCAUGCUCUUUUCGACCAGACUCGUCAUGCUGUCCCAAUACACACCCCAUUGAGUUCUCAGUCACUACAGGACUUAAUCAGAGGUUCUCCCCAGGAAACUGAGUAUAGGAUUGGAGGUUUUUUGUAAAUACUCUUUUAUUUGUAAAAGCUUCUGACCAGCAUCAUUCCACCUGAUUGCUUGAUUCUUUCUUAGCAAUUUGAAUAUCGAUUCACACGUGGCAGUUAGGUGAGAUACAAACCUUGCAAUGUAGUUCAAUCUCCCUAAAAACCCACGAACUUGCUUUUCAGUUUUCGGUUCAGGCAUCUCUUGAAUAGCUUUUACUUUUGCUGGAUCAACCUCAAUCCCUUUCUCACUGACAAUGAAACCCAACAGCUUCCCGGAUCUCACCCCAAACGUACACUUGUUUGGAUUCAGCCUCAAUUUGAAUUUUCUCAGUCUAUCAAACAACUUCUGCAGAUUUACCAGGUGCUCCUCUUCUGUCUGCGACUUCGCAAUCAUAUCAUCCACGUACACUUCGAUCUCUUUGUGCAUCAUGUCAUGAAAGAGAGUCGUCAUAGCCCUCUGAUAGGUAGCACCAGAAUUCUUUAGCCCAAAUGGCAUCACCUUAUAGCAGAACGUGCCCCAAGGUGUAAUGAAUGUCGUCUUUUCCAUGUCUUCUGGCGCCAUCUUAAUCUGAUUAUAACCAGAAAAACCGUCCAUGAAAGAGAAAACCGAAUGUCGUCUUUUCCAUGUCUUCUGGCGCCAUCUUAAUCUGAUUAUAACCAGAAAAACCGUCCAUGAAAGAGAAAACCGAGGAUUGAGCCGUAUUAUCAACCAAUACAUCAAUGUGAGGUAAUGGGAAGUCGUCUUUCGGACUCGCUCUGUUCAAAUCCCGGUAAUCGACACACAUCCUGACUUUGCCGUCCUUCUUCGGCACGGGAACGAUGUUGGCCACCCACGGGGGAUAAGUAGUCACUGACAGAAAACCUGCAUCCAACUGUUUCUGAACCUCUUCCUUGAUCUUGACAGCCAUAUCAGGGCUAGUUCUAUGAAGCUUCUGCUUGACUGAAGGCCAAUCUUCUCUGAGAGGUAAUCUAUGCACCACAAUAUCUGUAUCCAACCCAGGCAUAUCUUGAUACGACCAGGCGAAUAUCUCCACGUACUCUCUCAGCAUCUCAAUCAACCUGUUCUUGACAUCUUCCUUUAAAGCAGCCCCGAUCUUGAUCUCUUUUCUGGCGUCCUCAGUACCCAGGUUAAUGAUUUCCAACUCCUCCUGAUGAGGUUGGAUGACCCUCUCCUCCUGCUUCAACAAUCUGACCAAUUCUUUAGGGAGUUCACAGUCUUCCUCACUCUCCUCUUCAGCUAGGUAGAUGGGAUUAUUGAAAUCAUACUGAGCCAUAACAAAACUGUUCAUAGUGGAGUUCGUAAGAUCGAUUCUGCAUGUUUAAUGCUUUGUUUUAGAAAAAGAGUUCAAGAAAGUCACAAAAACAAAAACAUUGCCAUUUUUAUUGUUUUGAAAAAUGAAAAACAGAAAGAUAGGGAUCACAAAAUUGUUUGCAAAACGUCCUUUAUUAAUGAUAUCAUUGAAAAAACAUGAUGAGGCCCUACAAUGAACCACUACGCCUUGGGCAGAACGUAGGGUUUUGUGCAAAAUGAAAAAGAAAAGAAAAUUACUCUGUUUGAAGAGUAACUUGGACCACAUCUUCUGCUGUCCAAUUAUUGAUCGUCUCCCCUGGUGCACACGGGCGAACCCAGUUGUCCAGAUCACAAUCGCUGUCACAGUCUUCACCACCGGUUGCAAAGACGUCACCAUGAUUCAUCAGCCCAGCACUGGUAAAGGUACUCGGCCCUUUCUGCUCAAUCUGCUCCGCCUGCAGAGGUUGAUAACCAAUAACGAACUUGUCUUCAUUUGACGGGCAGGUCCACCAUCUUGCCCCAGCCUUCUGCAUUGCCCGAGCUGACAACCUCCAUAGCCUGCUUGUAUGAUGCAAUUGAGGCACUUGGCUUCUUCUGCUCAGCAAAAGCCACCCUCUCAAGAGCAACGGUCUCGAAUGCCUGGCAUAGAGUUUCAUGGAUCUCGCCAUCCACCUCUACAUACUUGAAAGAGGAUAGGUGACUCACCAGAAUGUCCUUUUCACCACACACAGUCACAAUCUGACCGUUCCAGACAUACUUCAGCUUUUGGUGGAGAGUUGACGAAACUGCCCCAGCCCCAUGGAUCCAGGGACGUCCCAAUAAAUAACUAUAUGCUGGCUGAAUAUCCAUCACAUAGAAGACAAUACUGAACACCUCCGGGCCAAUCUUCACCGGCAACGUGACUUCACCAAAAACAGACCGUUUGGAUCCAUCAAAUGCACGAACGAUAAGAUCACUCGGAGUAAGGACAACCCCUUCCACAUCUAUCUUGCUCAGAAUCUUCUUGGGCAACACAUUCAAAGACGAGCCAGUAUCCACCAACACAUGUGACAAUACUGCGCCUUUGCACUCCAUAGUGAUAUGCAGGGCCUUGUUAUGAUUGCGGCCUUCAGGCGUCAGAUCCAAAUCUGUGAACCCCAUACCGUGCCUGGUGCUCACAUUAGCAAUAACCCCUUCCAAUUGGUUGACAGAGAUCUCUGGAGGCACGUAAGCCAGAUUCAGCAUCUUCAGCAAGGCAUUACGGUGUGCCUCAGAGCACAAUAGCAAUGAGAGUAUGGAAAUCUUGGACGGAGUCUGAUUCAGCUGAUUUACAAUCUUAUAGUCACUCUUCUUUAUAAUCUUCAUGAACUCCUCCACGUCUUUCUCAAACGACCCCUUAGGCGCCUCCUUCUGAACAGGUUCUUCAUCAACCACGGCUUGCUUACCCUUAGCUUUGGCGAGUGCCUCAGCAUUGUUAUCUCUCAACGGCUGUGGUGCAAACAGACGACCACUCCUUGUGAAAUCUCCUGGUCCCCCAACAUUAUCCACAACUGGACCCACAGUCACAGGAGCUCUAGGUGGCAUUCCAAUCGUUACAGGAGCUUGAUUAACUGGCCCGACCUGACUUUCUGCCCUUCGGUUGCUGCGAUAAGCAUUAUCAUACUUCCACGGCACAGCCUUACUAUUCUCAACAGCCCUUCUGCCCGAAGCAACGAUAGUAGUGGGAGCACUGACAGUUACUGGAGCAGAAAUGGUAACUAAAGUACCAACAGUUGUGGGUGCACUGACAGUUCUCUGGCCACGUCCCUCAGACGGUUUGAAAUAAAUGGUGACAGUUGACACCACCCCACGAUCCUUCACGGACCGACUAAACUGCAGAUAGCCCUCAUCCAUCAAACCCUGGAUACUAGUCUUCAACUUGUCACAACCAUUUGCUGAAUCUUCACAGUCUGAAUAACCCUGAUCACAGCCCGGGAACACUCCCCCAUUCAGCAGACGAUCCUUCACAACAAACAACGGGGUCUGAAUCUCAUCAAUACUGACCACCAAGUCUUCAGCUUCCCCACCUUCCACAUUGUUCACCCUAUGCGCACCAUGCUGAGGCAUAGGAUUGUUCACAACAUUCGGCACAGGAGCAAAAUUGAUUGUUUUGGCGUCAAUUAAGUCCUGGACCUUAUGAUGGAAAGCCCGACAAUUUUCAAUAUGGUGCCCCGGUGCACCAGAGUGGAAAUCACAACGAACGUUGGCAUCAUACCCAGGUGGUAUCUUUGUCAACGGAGCCAUCGUACGCAACUCAACAAACCCAAAUCUGAGCAAUUCGGGCAGCAAUUCAGCGUAUGUCAUCGGCAACGGGUCGAAACGUCGAUCCGACAUUCUCUGUCUAAGCUGAUACGGACGUUGCUGUUGUUGUUGUGGCGGUUGUUGAACUCUCUGUUGUUGCUGAGGUUGACGUGGUUGAGGUGCCGAAAUGGUUACAGCAGCAACCUGGCGAUAUUGCUCUCUGUUCACACUUCUUCUGUGUUGCACAACAUUGGUCUCACCCUCCCUCCUACGGGGCCCCCCAGAAAACGGCUUCUUUGAAGAUGAGGAACCAGCAUCCUGAAUCUUCCCAGCUUUGAUAAGGCUCUCUGUUCUCUCCCCACAAGUUACAGCAUCAGAGAAGCUACCGAAUGGGCAACUCCCCAUCCGGUCCAUGAAUACACCUUGUAAUGUCUCGAUAAACAUAUCAGUCAACUCCCUUUCCAGCAUAGGGGGUUGCACCCUCGCGGCUAACUCACGCCAUCUCUGGGCGUACUCCUUGAAACUCUCUCCAGAUUUCUGACAUAGGCUCUGCAACUGAGUCCGACUCGGCGCCAUGUCCAUAUUAUGUUUGUAUUGCCUCAAGAAGGCUUCACCCAGAUCUCUCCAACUUCUGAUGGAUUCUCUUUUCAGCUCCAUGUACCAAUCCAAGGAAGCUCCAGACAAGCUAUCCUGGAAGAAGUACAUCCACAUUUUCUCAUCGUCUGUAUAGGCAGAGAUCUUUCUGUAAUAUGCUUGCACAUGGGUGCAAGGACAAGAAGUACCGUUGUAUUUGUCAAAAGAAGGCGCCUUGAACUUGUAAGGAAUCCCCAAUCCUUCCACUAGACCCAUAUUAGUGACAUCAAACCCCAAAGAGUUCUGACACUCCAUGGCUCUGAUCUUCUCAGCUAGGGCAUCAACCUUUCGAUCCCUCUCUUCGACUCUUACAACCUUAUCAUCUUCACUGAGCAGGGUAAACAUGUCUUCCUGCCUGUCAACCAACGGAGCAGGAUGGCGAACGGGAGCACGGGUUGCUCUGACAUUAACAGUCUCUGCAGCAAGAGGCUGUCCAUUAAUCCUGAUACCUCUCAACUCAUCUCCCACAGCAUAAUCAUUGACGGGAGCAGCAGCAAUAACACCAUCAUUCACAAGAACACCCACUGGCGAAGCACGACUAGGAGGUGGUAGUACAGCUUCUUGUCUCUGGGCUAAGGCACGCAGCUCCUCUUGCCCUUGAACGACCCCUUGCAUCAUUGUCAUGAACUGGGCCAUGUUAGCCCUCAUCUCAGCCAACUCAGCUUGCACUUGGUCCAUAUUUCUCUGUUGAUUCAACCUCGUUGAGUAGCGGUGCGGACGUUAAUCAGCUAUCCUGCCUGACACAGGAACCAGAGUGAGAAGUCUCGAUCAAGAACACCUGUAAUGCAAAAUGAUAUGUGUAUGAUGUUUAUGAUGCGUAUGAUGCACAUGAUAUGUUCAUUUCUCAGGCAUUCAAGAGCCCAAUUCAUCUUUCAAGAAAUGGCAACCUGCAACAAGAACAACACAGAAGCAACAUACACAAUAUAAUGAGCACAAGGUGAAACAUCAACACCCUCAUCUAUAGACAUGAGCAACAAGGACCAUAUAACAAUAUUCAGAUAAAAAUCCAAAUGAUCAGAGUACCACAAUGAAUCCCAUCCAACAAGCCUGGAGGUGAUUCUCAACAUAAACAACAGAGAUACAAGCUAAGACAAAUGGCUUCCAGGAAUGAGAGUCUUCAGAUACUGGCACUGGUCUAUCAACAGGUCACAUUCUGAACAUUCUAAACAUUCUGGCAGAGGGGUGAUCCCCAGUUGAGUCACCAGCUGUCGCAUUACGCGAAAAACCGACGGGAAAACGAAACGACAGAGCCGCCACCGUGCGUUAUUUAUCCCAAAGGAGGGAAAGGAAACGCUCGAAGUAAACCUGGAAAAGACAUGGUCUCGCGACCAGAGAAAGAUGGGAUCGGGAGUCGGUUAUGCGAAGGGAAGGUAUUAGCACCCCUACGCAUCCGUCGUACUCGACGGGAUCCACGCUCAGAAAGAAAAGAAGAAAGGUUGCUAAAACUGCUCACAAACUGCACAAGGCUGGAAGGAAACACCGAAAGACAAAAGAAACGGGACUCGGCAGGAUAUCGCAUCCUGGGCCUACAUAGUCUGUCAGACACAGACAUCAGAGUCGACUUAGUUUGGGAACAGGGGAAACGUGCUCGCUAGGAUGUCGCAUCCUAUGCAUACGUAUCUUCUCUAACCAGAGAAAGAAUCAGAGCACCCGUAGCUCGGCUAACGCACGCCGAAACAAAACCCACACAGGAAACCGACUGCCAAUCGCUGGACUUACGUCAGACUCCACACAAACGGGCAAACAUGGAAACCGAAGGCCAAUCGCUGGACUUACAUCAGACUCCGAACCAACAAACACACACAGGAAACCAACUGCCAAUCGCUGGACUUACGUCAGACUCCAAACACAACACAAAGGGGUUGAAAAAUAAAAAGGGCGCCCGGAGAGAUCAGCUCAUCUCCUGCCUACGUACCUCAUCUGGUAUGAGGAUCAGGGAGACGUAGUUCCCCUAAACAGGGAAAGAACUUCUAACCUAACCAGAUACAAAGAGAGACACAAACUACUAGGGAGACUACGACUCGAGCCUAGAAGUUGUCAUGCAUACGGUCCCUAUGUUAAGGUUUCUAUCUAACUUGCACAGGAAGCAAGCUAUCCUAACACAGCACAAUCAAUCAAAAGCACAAAAAGCAAGCACACACACUAUAUGCAAACAGAUGGGCUCAUACAAGGCUAGGCUUUAGUCAAGGGGUCAUGUCAACCUCAACAAACAAACCACUGGAAUUGGGUAUGAUUAGCUCUUAACCCUAACAUUGAGAGUUAGGGUGAAGCAGAUGAAAGGGAGAUGAGGGUAAGACCUCACAGCUCUUAUCCCUAGCCUGGGAGAGCUUGACUCAAAGUAGAAAGUGUGGGAGUUUAGAAUGUAGGAACUCUUCUCCACAAAUGACUGACACAACAUGAUCUUGGGUUAUUAUCAACAAUGCAUCAACCCAAGGUGUGUGAGCAAAGUGAAUGACACAACUGAAUAGCAGGGGAUGGAUUGCACAUCCCUUUUAUCUGCCAAUUGCCUCUUAAGAGGUCUUUACCUGCUUGGCACAAAAUCAAACAAACACAAGCAUUGCCUCUUAAGGAGGGCUUCAGACAGGUGCCUGCCCACAUAACAGGACAGGUCUUCCAGACUACAUAAAGUCAGAGAGUUAUACCUAAGUGGUAAGCAAACCACAAGCCAAGCUAGGCAACUCAAGCAAUAAGUUAAAGCUACUAAAGUACAUGUGCAAACAACCAGACAAUCAGUACACAGUUCAAACAAACAGACAACAGUCAUCAGGCAAUAAUAAACAGACAAAGCAAUCAGGCAACAAUGAGCAAGGCACAAGCACAAGGGGAUUUGUUCGAAAAACCUACAAAACAACACAAUGUUAGCCAACAUCAACCAAUUAAUCAAACUCAAAUGAAUGAGCCACUCCAAUCAUGGCAAUGUGCAUCUGAACCUGAAAUCCACAAUCCAAACAGUGAGUCCAAACCACUAGGUCAAAGCCUAGGGUCAAAAGAGGGUCAAACAUUCAAAACAGAACAUGAAAUUUAACAUGAAUCAUCCUUAUUCAAUCAAGAACAAAUCUCAAAAAGUCACACAUCAAAAUCAUUAAGCAUAUUCAUUUCAUGAGCAAAACAUGGCAAGGCAUGCAAAUGGUGAUCACAUUGAGACAUCAGAAGAAACAAAUGCACAUUAAAUCAAAAAUGACUCAAAUAAUCUUGGCAAAAUUCAUGAGUGAACAGGACAUACAACAUGAUCAUCACACAAAAAAUUAGAGGCAUUGGACAUCAUUAGGCAUGGCAAUCACAUAGCAUAAUCAAGACAAUCACAUGUGUGACACAAACUGUCACACCAAGUUAGCAUGAGUAUAAAACAGAAUGGGAGCAUGGGAAAAAUCUCAAACCAAAGCCAAAGUGUCACUCAACAUGUCUAGAAUCCACACACAAAAUUUCAGAAGCAUUGGAUAAGAAACAAGCAUUUUAUGAUCAAAUGAAUAAGGCAAUAUCAUGAAUGGAUACAUGUUCAAACACCCUAGGACAAAUCAAGUUUUUAACCAAGCACAACUUGCAAUUCAAUAAUCAUAAAAAACUAGACAAGAUAAGGAACACAAUGGAAAAAAUUUGAGAUCAAUUGGAGCAUUUUUCAUUUUUAUAUGAUUUUUUGAAGUGGAUGAAAGAUUUGAAAAUGAAAAUGGAGCCAAAGUAUGAAAUGUGGAGGGAAAAGGAAUAGUGCAUGGCAAUUUGAUAAAGUCCUCUCGCCCGGAUUCGAACUUGGCACAAAUUCAAACCUGGCGCGCGCCUAAAACGACUGUGUUUUGCUUCUAAAACCCUAAGCGCGUCAGGAAACCGUUGUUGUAUCAUGGAAAACCGUGGCCUAAACAAUAUUCGUAGCUAAUUCCAAAAGCUCGUAGCUAAAUCCUAGUAAGUUCGUAGCAAAACCUGGGAAUUGCAUGGUGUUCAUAUGGAACGAUGAAGAUCAUGAAGAUCUUCAUCUGGAUUUUCCAGAAAUCACAAAAAAUGUCCAGAAAUGAAAAAUAAGCAUAGCAAUCGAUUCAUCUUUCCACAUACAUCAAGGAUCCAUGAUUAAUUUGCUUUAAAACACCAUAACAAAGCCAAAUCGAAGGAAAUCAAAAUCAACAUCAAAACUUCAAUUGAACAUAACUCCAUGGAUAUAGCAUCAUUUCACUCGAUUUUUUCACCAGUAUCAUCACCAUUCAAGGAUCUACAAGAACAUCAUAACAAUUUGCAAAAUAAAAGAGGUCGAAUUCUAACCUGUUGAAGAACAGCAACUGGAAUUGGCUCGUUUCAAGGUUUGUGAAGGUCCAGGAAUCUUUUAUGAUGCUUGUGGAUGUGAUUGGUGAUGAAUUAGAAGCUCAAAUGCACACGAAUUCAGUUCAAUUUUCCAAUGCCAUGGAUGCUUCAAGCUUUGAAUCUAUCUCAAUAUGCCACGAGUUUCUCUGAAUCCACGUCCAAUUCUACUCAACAACACCUCAGGAACAUGAAUCAACCAAUAGAAAGUGCUUUUGUUUGAAGAAAUUUGGAAAAAGUUUGAGAGAAAUUUUUGAUGAUUUUCUUGAAUCCAGAUUUGAAAUGUUGCUAAUGAUCAAAAACAGUUAUGAUUAAGUAUAUAUACUUCCUACUAAUCAUGUUUAAAACCAACUUAAGCCUAAUGCCAAUGUGAUUAGUAAGUUGGAAGGUGUUUGUGCAAAAAUGAGUUUUUCACUUCAUGCACCCCAUGCACGUGAACAGUGUCAAUUCAAGGCCCAAAUCCACUAAAAAUGAGUUCAUGCAAGGUUGUGAAUUGGUUUGGUAUGCAUAUGUUCCACAAAAUGAAUUUUAUGCAAUUUCCUUCAAAAAUCUUCAUGAGUGAACCAAAGACCAUGCAAAUGAAAUUCAUGUCAAGUAAUGGUAUGCUUGGAAAGUACAUGUUAUAAGGAUAAAAAUGCAAAAAGAACCACUCAUUUUGGAGUUUUGGUUUGAAAGUUAUGCUCAUUUGAACUUUGAAACACACUUUGCCAUGAUUGGAUCAUAACUCCUCAACCACACAUGAGAAAUUCAUGAUCUUGGACUUUUUGGAAACGGGGGAGAAAGAUCUUCAACUUUCAUGUUGGAAAAAAUUUCAUUUGAAGCUUUCUUGAUGAUGUAAUCUUGAGUUGAAGUUGGUCUAAAACCUUUCCAUUUUUGGAAAGUUCAAAUUACAGGUCACCUGCUAUUUUUGGAAAGUCUUGACCUGACUUCAAAUUCUUCAGUGUUGAUGUUUGAAAUGUCAAAUGAGACUUGUUUAAACAUGAAUGAGUCAUCUCUAACCACUUCCCACCUUCAAAUCCACAGUUGACUUUGCAGUUGACUUCUGUUGACUUUUGUUGGCCUCAGAUGAUUUGCACAUGGACUGAUGAGCUCUGAGCUUUCAACACUUGGCCAAUAUUGCUUCAAAGUGAUCCUUGGGUCACAUGAACUCAUUGUACCAACCCUAGGGCUUUGAUCUCAUUGAAAAUGCUCUUGUUGCCUUGCACAGUGGAAUCUCCUGACCAGUCUUGCCUGAUACAAUGUAAUGGACUAUGCAAUGCUAAUGCAAUGUUAAGGUGAUGUUAAUGACCUAAAAAUGAAAUGUAUAUACAAAUGGGAGGUGCAAAUUUGAGGUGCUACACAUUUUGACGUGAAAUAAACAAAGGUUUUAAAUUCCAAGAGCAAGCAACAAGCAAAGAUUUAAUCACUUAAAAUGUCUAAAUCAAAACUCUUUGAAAGCAAUCAACCAACACGUAGUUUUCUAUGCAGCACUAUGUAGCUUUGAAUUCCUCAUUGGAUCUGAGGGUACGUAGGAACGAGACCCACAAUCUCGUCAAGCACCAUAAUAAACACAUUUUUGUAACCAUUUUAUUUUCCUUUUGCAUAUUUUAUCUUUAAAAAAAACAAUUAACACAACUAACAUUCAACCACAAGUUUAGCUAAAAGGUUCCCGUUGAGUAUAAGAGAUGUGAUGAGUGCUAAUACAUUCCCCUUGUGUAAUCGACUCCUGAAUCCAAAUUUGGCUGCGACAACCAUUUCAUUCUUCUUUUAAAGGGUUUUUCCGUGAAACAUUUUUCUGUGAGCGUGCGAACUCUUCGUUAAGGAACGUAUUUUUCGAGAUGCGAGUGUUGGUGACUCUGCUGGGGAAUAUGCUUUGAGGAAAAGAAAUCCAAGCCUAAUUUGAUUAAAUUUGUGAUUAAUUUGUUAACUUUUCUAAUGGUUUACUUAUACUUGCAUUAUUUUAUUAUGUGUUAUAACUGUGGUGCAUUGGUACUAUUAAGGAUCUUUGAUUAUUGGUACUUUGUGAGAUAGGAUUUCUACCCGAGUCUAAGGAAAACCAUAAGAUUAAGAUGGUGAUUAUGCAGUAUUGGUAUGCGAGGUUCAUUCCUACUUUGGGACGAUACGAAGACCCCACAUAGGGUAGACUCUCUUUGAGAUGUUAUUGCUUAACGAGCCUUCGUCAUGUCGAUAAUGUUUUCAAGUUGGAUCUAUAACUAUAUGGAUCUCUUUAGAACCUCGAAGUUGAUGGUUGUAUAGUGUUGGCAUGUGAGGUAUCUUUCUCGCUAGGACUAUAUGAAAACCUCACCUAAAAGAGAUCGUCUUAAGGGUAUUAUUAUACAACGAGCCUUCGUCAUGGCGGUAAUCUUCCCAAGAAAGAUCCAUGACUUUAGGAAUCUACCAACCGUAAAGCCUAUCUAUGGGGUUUCUAUAAUUAGUGAUACCAAUUAUUUACCGAUUAUUCUGACCAACAUGGGAACUAAAUUAUACAUGUGAUCCUGAAACCACGCAUACGCGUUGCACAAUCAUAAACAUAACAUUUUAGUUUUAUUUCCAUGGAAUAUGAGAAUCACAGUUGUAGUCAUUCAGAAAGUAUGGGAUACGGAAAAAUGAAGCAUGUACUCAUACAAAUUCAAAGAUCCUCAGUUGGCCAAUCUGCAUUAGUUGGUUUCCCGGCUCCAUCCGAUAUACAAAAUCAACUUUGGGAAAAACUAUGGAAAUUUGCUUGGUCUCUUAUGUCAAAAGAUGGACCCCUUAUCCCUUUUGACUUUGGCUUAGUUUUAUGAUCCUCCUAUGAGAUUUUUCACAUUCCAAGAUUUUCAUAUAGCAUCCAUGUUGGAAGAGUUUGAACAUAUUGUUGGCAUUCAUAUGAAGAAAAAUUCGUCGUUUUUAGGUGUAGAAGAGUCUCUACAGAAUGAGGUCAUAAUUUAUGCUCUUCACAUGCAUAAGAGGGAUAUUACUUCUAAUUUGGAAGUCAAAGGAAAUACUAAUGGAUUAUCUCUCAAAUUCAUAAUAUAGAAAGAAUCCACCUUUAUGAAUGCUCAGAGUUGGGAGGCUUACUAUGUCGUGAUUGCAUUGGCUAUCUAUGAAAUCAUUCCAUUCCCAAACUUGGACAAUUUUGUAGACAUGACUUCCAUUAGCAUCUUCCUCAUGGAGAAUCCAAUUCCUAACAUGUUAGCUAAUGUGUAUUAUUACCUCAGUUGGAGGCAUGAGAAGAAGGGAGGAAUGGUUUAUUGAUGUGUUUCAUUGAUGUAUCAGUCGUUGCUAACUCACCUUCUAAAGAAUGGGACCUUUUAUGGAGAAAAGCACGUGAGUUUACCUAAAAGGACGGGAUCACUCAGAGCAAGUGAUAUCACUUGGUACUCCAAAGAGUAUGUUGGCAUAAAUAUUGUAUUCAGUUAUGGGGAGUUCCCCAACAUACCACUUAUUGGGACUCGAGGGCACAUUAAUGCUAAUCUAGUCAUAUCCUUAAGACAACUUGGAUACCCAAUUGAGGGUCCUCCUGAUGAGAGAUUAUUGGAAGCCUUCUUGUUACGUGACCUUUGGGUUGGGGGUCCUGUGUUAUCCAAAAGAGUUAAAAAGGGAUGGGAGACAAUCGUCAAGAAACGAAGGGUUAAUUUGGGAAGGAAGAAUUGUAUCACCAAAGAACCUUAUCUUCAAUGGAUAAGGGAAAUGGUGAAAUUGAUCAAAAUGCCCUUCAGUGUUAAAAUACAUGUUCCUCCCCUAGAGCCUAAUCUUACUCAUAUCCCUAUUGAGGAGACAGAAGAACUUAUAGCUACCAUAGUCAGGCUCACCAAGGAGAGUGAAGAGCUACACCAAAAACUUUGCAACAUCUCCAUAGAAAAGGAUGAGCUCAAGUUUAGUCUUGGAAAAAGAGGAAAAUAACUUGGUGAGAGUCAGGGGACUCCCUAAAAAGAAAGAGGAAAUAGGCAUAAGGUUAAGGAUGACUUAGACUCAUUGGCCAUCGAGCUUAGUCAAAGAAACGAAGAACUCUGAAGAGUUAUCAAAGCUAACAAGGAAUGGAAUGUUUGGUGGGAUAAAGCCUCUGAGCAAAGGAGGAGGAUGAAGGAAGCCUUCAAGGCUAAAAUUAAACACCUAUCCCAACAACUAUAAGAAGCCCAAGCUCGCAUACUGCAAGAAACUCAACAUUGACAAGAAAUUAAGAUGGCCUACCAAAGUUCUCAUGGACUUGAUGAAUAACUGCAUGAACUUAGGCUCACUGCCCAAUGCAUAAGAAAGUCCAGGGAGGAACUAAAGAAGCAUUGGGAAUCCAAAUUUGAUGAAAAGGUGGAAGAACUGAAACAAGAGGAAACAUUCUCCCUCCAUGCACGAGUCACACCAGGCAAAUGGUUCAUGAAAUGCGAGGAAGUUGUCAAGCUUGCCAAUCACUUGAUACACAUUUUCCCUCUAAGGAUAAUUGAUGCUUUUGAGGAAAUGACUUAUGAGAACACACCGCCUACAGUCUUCAACUUUAUUCUCCUUUGCAAAUACAUGGUUAAGUACCUCAAGAAAAAGUUGGCUCACUUGAAGAAAGUUCGAGGAACGGCCAAGUGAAAGGAUAAAUUUACAUAUUUAUUACCUUAUUUUGUAAUCAUCAAAUGUACUUGAUUAUGAAUGAAUGAAUGUUUGAGUUUACUUAGAAGUUGUUUAUCUUUAUAUCUCGCUCUUACACUUUUGAAUGCCUAAACGACUAAUCCAAAGAUUCCCUACAACUAAAAAAACAAAAGAGAGCACAUGCAUCACAUUUCAUCAGCAUGCAUAUCAUUUUCCCAAAAACACAAAAACUAAUCCUCUCUCCUCGUCUUUAGAAAAAAGUUGUUUAUCCGACAUUAGUAUGCCACACCCGCCAAUACUAGAAGAGUAAUGGAUCCAGUUCAAUAAGAGCAAGCUGUUAUGCGAGAGGAGAUUAACUUCAUCAAAGACAAAGUUGAUCAAAUUCUAGAAACCAUGAUGGCUCUGGCCAUAAUGGAAUAAGAGCUUUGUAAUGUCGUCACUACAAGGAAUGAGGUUCAUGUUCAAGGAUCUACUUCAAGACCCGCAGUUCCCAUUCCUGUGAUUUUUAUUCUUUUGGUUUAUUUUAUUAUUUAUUUUAUUACUUUUUUUAAAAUUAAUUUAACUAUUUAAAUUUGUAGUAAUUAAAUAAUUAAAUGUUUAUUUGAUUAAUUGAUUAGGUUUUAAUUAAUUAUUUUUUUAUCUUGUUAAGUAAAUUAUAAGAUUAUUUGUUUUGUUUUGUCAUAAUUAGGUAUUUGUUUUCAAUGUUUCAUAUUAUUCAUGUAAAUAAUCAUACUAACAUUUCACACAAUUUCAAUUUCAAACCAUUUUCACACUAACUUCACUAAUAUUUAAUUCAAUUUCACUAAUAUUUCACCAUCGAUUAAAUACCUUCAAAUUAUUUUCAAAACCAUUUUCAAAACCAUUUUCAACUAGGUUCAAACUAUUUUCAAAACCAUUUUCAAUUUCAAUUUCGAACCUUUUCUUUUACUAAGACAAGCAAACCUCGAUCGACAUCAAGUAACUUUUCCUAAAUAACACUUAUUAUCAAAUCAUUUCUCUUAAACAAAUACGAAAGAACAGGACUGUUAGAAUCUAACAUUCUAGCAAAACCCUCGAAUGAUUGGUCUUGAGGCACAAGUUUUGGGAUAACCACUUAUUCUUUUUUUCACACCUAAAACACUUAAUAAACGUGGACUAAAAAGGACAUUUGGAAUAUAACAUUCUGAUGGAACCCUUGAACAAUUGAUUCUAAGGCAUGUGUCUUGUUCUUAUCAAACGUUCGUUGUCCAUUGAACAAUUUUCUUAAAUACCUAAAAUAAAAAAGGACCGUUGAAAUCUAACAGCAUGGUAGAACCCCAAAUAAUUGAUCCCGAGGCUUAUGUCUCGUUCUCAUCAAGCGUCGUAAUUCACCUAAAAUACACUUAACCAAUCAAACUCGUUUUCUCGCCUCCGUGCGAUAUUCAAAAAAACAUUUUCACAAACGAAGAUAUUUUGUCUCAGGACAGUGAUAGACAAUGCCUCAUCCAUAAAUCGUGCGAGUUGAGAUAAAUGAUAUUUUUCUGUGUGAAUGAUGAUUUGUAAAUCCAUUCAAUAUGUGAUGCAAACGUCUGCUCCUCACCUGUUUUGGGUAAGUAAUGUUUUCCAUCAAUUGACACGAAAUAAUUUUCGCAAAAAUCUACCAACAAACAAACAUUUUCUACCUAUAACUACGUAAGCCUUGAGUUCUCCAUCGCACCCAGAGACACGUAUGAGCGAGAUUCAAAGUCUCGUCAGACAUUCUAAUAAAAAAAAACUUUUUUUCAUUUUUUCUUUUCCCUUUUAAUAACUCAAGAAGCCUAACAUUUCUAAGCUAACACUAACGUGCACAACUAAUCAAACGUUUUUCGUUAAGUACAAUAGACGUCAAGGGUGCAAAAAUCUUCCCCUUGCGUAAUUGACUCUCGAACCCUAAUUAGGUUGCGCCGGUCAAUAUCAUAUGUCAGUGACGACUCUAUUAAAUCUAUCCCGCGAGCAUGUGAUUCGCUUGACGAGGUCGUGUUCUUAUUUUUCGAGGUACGUCGAUCUGCAUAUAAAGUGUGGGGUGAAACUUGAACACUUCUAGUCCUUUUCAUAGGCAGUACCUUAGAUUCCUCAACCAGAUUUGGCGGGGCCUUACUAAAAACAUCCUUAGCCAAGCAAAAGACGAUUUGAGAUAAGGGAUCACCUUGUCUCACUCAUCUUUGUCAUUGAAAAAAGCCAUGCAUUUUUCCAUCGAUUGAAACAGAAAGAUAAGUAGAUUGGAGAAUUUUGUGAAUUCAAAGACAAAAUUUAUAGCAAAAACCAAAUAUCUUAAGACCCUAAAGAAGAAACUUCCAACUUAAGGUAUAUAAAGCCUUGCAUGUGUGUAUUUUAAGAGAAAUAUCUCCACCAUAACACUUCCUACUGAGAGUAUUGACUGCCUAGUGAGACAUAUACCAUCCCUUACGUUUCUGCCCUUAUGAAGCCUUUUUGCUCAAGAGAGAUGAUAUGUGGCAUGACUGAUGCCAAUUGUCAACAAUGAUUUGGGUGAUGAUUUUGGUCUUAUAGUCUCCUAGAGUAACAGGUCUAAAACGGAUAAUGGAGCUAGCACUAUGUGUUUUAGGAAUCAAAAGUAUAUAAUUUAAAUUAUAGUAAGACAUAAUCCAAUCUUGAAUAAAGAAUUGAGAUAUAAAUCUAAUGACAUCAUGCUUGAUGAUAUCCCAAAAGGUUUGACAAAAAAAUCCUUCAAAGCCAUUAGGGUCAGGAGCACUUUUCUUGUACAUUCUAAACAUGACACCCUUUAUUUCCUCAACAAUUUGAAUACUAGUAAAGAGAUGGUUGGUAUCCUCAUUAACCAAAAAGGGAAUGAUUUCCUCAAUCAUACCAUUAUUCACUAAUUCAUUAUUGUUAUUGUAAAGGUGUGUAAAGUAUCAAGUGACAUGCUCACUCUUGAAAUCUUCGUUAGUGAUAACCUCAUUGUUAUGAUGAAUGGCAGAAAAAGGUUUAGAGACAACUUUUAUCUUGGCAUAUACAGGUCUCCUUUAAAAGCCCAAUACACUCUAGAUUUCUCCUUCCAAAAUGCUUCUUCAAGACUGAAAGAAAAAAACACAUUAUUGUGCAAUAUUUUCCUACUCCAGCCUGAAGAACUUCAUCAUGACCAAUACUAGCAGACCUGAUCUAAAUUCUGUUAAGGUUUUAUUUUGCAGUUCUGACUUUUUCUUGAAUGUUACAAAAAGAGGACAUGUUCCACUCCUUUAAGUUAUUUUUUAGGGGCUUGAACUUCUAUCUAGAAUUAACAUGGGGAAGCCAACCACUAUGGUCUCCCAAGUCUUAGCAACAAUGUUUAUAAUCGAAAUUGAGCAUAAUGGGGAUAGUGGUCAGAACAAUUCUUGGUGAUACUGGAGCAAGACAAGACAAGACAAUCCAGGCUUGAUUUUCAAUAGCUCAAUCCAAACCAUUUUAAGGUUUUCUUUUACCCUCUCUACCAUGGGAGCAGGUGAGAUGAUGAUAUUUAAUGGAGAAAGUGUAUUAGCGGUUAAGGUUUGUCCAAUUAUAAAAGUCUUCCAUGCAGAUACUAGAAGGUCACAAAUGAGGCGAGGCACGGCACCAAGGCAUGUUUGAGUUUAAAAGGUUACAAAUUAUUCCAAAGAUCCCUUCUUUAAAUAUAAUCGGUUGAGGCAUAUAUUAUUACGAUCCAAAAUCUUCUGUUGUUAUCCAUCAUCACACAAGAAUUAAAUUGAGACACAUAGGCGCGGCCCACCAUAAACAUGAUAUCAUUCCUAAUUAAUUAUUAUUUUACUAAAAUAAUUUUUAAUUUAAUAUUUGAAUUUUAAAUUUUUCCAAAAAUUAAUUAUACUAAAUUAUUUAAUUCUCUAAUGCCUAAUUAAUUCUUAAAUAAAUAAUUCUAAAAAAUUGAUACAUUAAAAUAUAUUAUAAAAUUAAAGUAACAAAAUUAUUAUAAUAAUUAGUCUAAUUUUUGAUUAAAUUUUAAAAUCAACUAAAAUCAUUUAAUCAUAAUAAAGUUAUAAAAAAAACACAAUUUGAAUUGAGGACCAACUUUUUACUUAAUAAAGACGAAAAAAAAGGUAAAAAUAAGUGAUAUUUACAUUUGUUACAUGCUGAUAAAAAAAAUCACACAAAUCAUAAAAGACGAUAUCAAAAUAAUUUGAUAAAGAGAAAUUAAAAAUGGAAAUAUUAAAAGCCAUCAUCAAAAAUACAUUCAUUCUUAAUUAUUUAUUCAUUAAAGCCAAAUUUUAAAUAUUAAAAGCCAUCAAAAAUUGAAAUCUAAAUUAUAGAUAAAUUAAAAUUAAUAUAAACAAAUUUAUUUUAAAAAAGUGGUAAUAUUUAAUAUUUAAUUGUUGAGCAAAUGUUAAAUAUGAUCAAGAGGUCUCAGGUCAUUUAAUUGUAAAUACAUCAUAAUCUAGAUAAUCAGCCAAUGUAGGCAAAUGAAAGACAUCACUGACCUCACAUAAAUCAAAGUUGAAUUAACUAAAUAAUUCCUAGAAAAAAAUAAUUGAAUUUUGAUGAACAUAAAGUAUGAGAUUUAUUUUAGGGAAAAAAAUUCACUCAGUGGUGGCUAGAUAAAUUAAGGUUCGAUUCUGCCUGCAAAUAUCCUCAACAUGAAAUCAGAAGAGGGAGCUUUGUAUCCUCAUCGUGAAAUUUUUUUUCCCAAAAAAUCAAAAACAGAGAAAAUAAAAAAUGAAAAAGAUCACUCAGUUCAGCGGGGUUUUCGACACGCAAAGCAAACUCAUAGAGAAAGCACUGCAUUCCGGUCUGUUGAGCUUGAAUUUCAUGGAGUCAUCACUGUGAUCUCUAUUAUUUCAUAAUAACAUUCAAAAUUCAACAAGAAAAAUCGAAUCCAAGGCAAGAAAAACAUACAAAAAUCAAAUGCAUAAAUCAUUAAAAGGAAACACAGACAGAAUAAAUUGAAAGAGCGAUUAGAAAUUGAAGAGUGGAGGCGUAUUCACCAUUCGCGAUUGAGAAAUUCUGUUCGCAGCUUCUGAAUUUAUAAGAGAGAACUAGGGUUUCUGAGGGAGCGAUAAUAGAAUCCGAGUACGC
rnacentral:lncRNA from 1 species